AGCUGCGUCUACGAGUGAGCGUACUGCUCCCCCAAGAAAUCGAAAAGAAUCCGGCAGGUCUUGCCGCCCUCUUCUCCGCCUCGUCGCCGCGGGUAGCGGCCGUCUUCGCCGCCGCCUGCAAUCCUCGUUCCCUCGGCGUAGAGGCUUUCGGAACCCCGGCCGUUUACCUCCAGGAGAGAGCCGUGCCUCUCUUUCUCCACCUCUUGGAAGCGCCGGCUUCGCUUCCGGUCCAACCCUCUGGUCUCCGCGAGGAAGAAACCGUGAAUUGGAUUCGAGAUCUCUCCCCAUGGAGAAUUCCAUCGGCAAGGAGGCGCCGUUGGUCGCGGAAUUCUUUCUACGAGUUAAAUUCGACCCGUCGCAUGGAGGUAUGAUUAAAAUGAAGGACAUCAUGUACUCACCGACGAGGGAGCGAUCUUAUCAUGCUCAAGUGCCAUCACUGGUUUCUUGUUGAGAUUCAUCGAAAUAUCCUGCAGCGUUGGUUGGAAAACUUGUAUGGCAGAGCUACACCAUGCACGCGAAAGGAGGUCCAUCGAUUCCGCAGUUGCCUCGGGGGCCAUUUGGUUCAUGUCUAAAUCCAUGCUGAUGGAGUUAUGGCUGUGAGAUAUGGCACAAAUGGCAGUGCUGCGAGUCCUGUGUAGAAAUAUAUACUUGGAUGAAGAGGGUCUACAUGGGACUGAUGGUUAAAUUGUACUUUUAUAGGAAUUGAGUUCUCCACCAGACAAAUCAGCUGCACCCCUAGAGAAGGGUGUAGUUAGUUAAUACGCUGUGAAGAGUAGGGAAUGCGUUUGUUAUAAGCAAUUAUUUUUCUGAUGAGAUGACAGGCAGGAGGGAUGAUUACCACCACCCAUGCUUGAGUAUUCAUAAAGAAGGAUAGAAUCAAUGGGGACCUCAUGGCCUAGAGAAAGCACAACAUAAAGCACUAUGUUUUGGUUGGUAGAAUGUCCAGAACAAAUGAGGCACAGCACAUGCCAACCAUGUAGCUUUCUGUAUAGGAUAUCUAUCGGACGGCUCUCUUCGCUUGUGAGGUAGGCUUAUUGGGAUCCACUUACCUUAAUAAAACUGCAUAAAGGUAAGAGGCCUAGGAAAGUUAAAGGAGCUGUCGGAUGCUGUGGAAUUUUCUUGCAUCAUAACCAAGCGUGCAGCAGAGCCUCUAUGGAGGAAAGGAGAAGCAUCUUGUAUCAUUGAAGCCAACGGUUCUUUAAAGUAAGAUGCUGAGAGGCCGACAGGUUACAGGACUUUCUAAGGCCUAAUGAGUGCUAGGCCCCUGGCCGGCCUAUGCUCGGUUAGGUUGGAUCAAGGCCUUUAAUGAUAUGUCCUCCAAUAAGAAGCUUCUCAAAUUCCCUACAUCUUGUGUAUAUUAUCAAAUUUUUUUGGGAGUUGGUGAGGGAAAUUUCACUUUGAUUGGUUACGACUGGCCUUUAUUCUUUAUGGAGUACUUGAUCAUAUGCUAUGAA